rnacentral:tRNA from 1 species
GCUGCACGAGGCCCCGCGCCUGGGCCUCCAGGUCCACGACCUGGGGGCCAUGUGGAAGGAGUGGACGGGCCUGCCGUUCGUCUUCGCCGUGUGGGC